CCUGACAACGAGCACUGCAUUAAUAAGCUGAAAUCUGCAGCUGCAAUGUCUGGGUGCCACAUCGAGCUGCACAGCAUUAACUGCACAUCGUUCACCGUCGCCUGCCGAGUGCAGAGGCAACGUUUAUGCAAAUCAGAGCCACGUCUUGUGCAGUCUGUACUUAAAUGCGACUGUACAUUACGUCUUUGAUUUGAAGGCACAAAUUGUCAAUAUUAUAUUGGAUGGUGUGG
rnacentral:lncRNA from 1 species